UACGGGGGGGGCAAGCGUUGUUCGGAAUUACUGGGCGUAAAGGGCGCGUAGGCGGGUGCUCAAGUCUGUGGUGAAAUCCUCCGGCUCAACCGGAGAACGGCCAUGGAUACUGGGUGCCUCGAGGGUGAUAGGGGUAUGCGGAACUAUCGGUGGAGCGGUGAAAUGCGUUGAUAUCGAUAGGAACUCCGGUGGCGAAGGCGGCAUACUGGAUCACUUCUGACGCUGAGGCGCGAAAGCCAGGGGAGCGAACGGG
rnacentral:rRNA from 1 species